GGUUAAGCGACUAAGCGUACACGGUGGAUGCCCUGGCAGUCAGAGGCGAUGAAGGACGUGCUAAUCUGCGAUAAGCGUCGGUAAGGUGAUAUGAACCGUUAUAACCGGCGAUUUCCGAAUGGGGAAACCCAGUGUGAUUCGUCACACUAUCAUUAACUGAAUCCAUAGGUUAAUGAGGCGAACCGGGGGAACUGAAACAUCUAAGUACCCCGAGGAAAAGAAAUCAACCGAGAUUCCCCCAGUAGCGGCGAGCGAACGGGGAGCAGCCCAGAGCCUGAAUCAGUGUGUGUGUUAGUGGAAGCGUCUGGAAAGGCGCGCGAUACAGGGUGACAGCCCCGUACACAAAAAUGCACAUACUGUGAGCUCGAUGAGUAGGGCGGGACACGUGGUAUCCUGUCUGAAUAUGGGGGGACCAUCCUCCAAGGCUAAAUACUCCUGACUGACCGAUAGUGAACCAGUACCGUGAGGGAAAGGCGAAAAGAACCCCGGCGAGGGGAGUGAAAAAGAACCUGAAACCGUGUACGUACAAGCAGUGGGAGCACAGAGCAAUCUGUGUGACUGCGUACCUUUUGUAUAAUGGGUCAGCGACUUAUAUUCUGUAGCAAGGUUAACCGAAUAGGGGAGCCGAAGGGAAACCGAGUCUUAACUGGGCGUUAAGUUGCAGGGUAUAGACCCGAAACCCGGUGAUCUAGCCAUGGGCAGGUUGAAGGUUGGGUAACACUAACUGGAGGACCGAACCGACUAAUGUUGAAAAAUUAGCGGAUGACUUGUGGCUGGGGGUGAAAGGCCAAUCAAACCGGGAGAUAGCUGGUUCUCCCCGAAAGCUAUUUAGGUAGCGCCUCGUGAAUUCAUCUCCGGGGGUAGAGCACUGUUUCGGCAAGGGGGUCAUCCCGACUUACCAACCCGAUGCAAACUGCGAAUACCGGAGAAUGUUAUCACGGGAGACACACGGCGGGUGCUAACGUCCGUCGUGAAGAGGGAAACAACCCAGACCGCCAGCUAAGGUCCCAAAGUCAUGGUUAAGUGGGAAACGAUGUGGGAAGGCCCAGACAGCCAGGAUGUUGGCUUAGAAGCAGCCAUCAUUUAAAGAAAGCGUAAUAGCUCACUGGUCGAGUCGGCCUGCGCGGAAGAUGUAACGGGGCUAAACCAUGCACCGAAGCUGCGGCAGCGACGCUGAUGCGUUGUUGGGUAGGGGAGCGUUCUGUAAGCCUGCGAAGGUGUGCUGUGAGGCAUGCUGGAGGUAUCAGAAGUGCGAAUGCUGACAUAAGUAACGAUAAAGCGGGUGAAAAGCCCGCUCGCCGGAAGACCAAGGGUUCCUGUCCAACGUUAAUCGGGGCAGGGUGAGUCGACCCCUAAGGCGAGGCCGAAAGGCGUAGUCGAUGGGAAACAGGUUAAUAUUCCUGUACUUGGUGUUACUGCGAAGGGGGGACGGAGAAGGCUAUGUUGGCCGGGCGACGGUUGUCCCGGUUUAAGCGGGUAGGCUGGUUUUCCAGGCAAAUCCGGAAAAUCAAGGCUGAGGCGUGAUGACGAGGCACUACGGUGCUGAAGCAACAAAUGCCCUGCUUCCAGGAAAAGCCUCUAAGCAUCAGGUAACAUCAAAUCGUACCCCAAACCGACACAGGUGGUCAGGUAGAGAAUACCAAGGCGCUUGAGAGAACUCGGGUGAAGGAACUAGGCAAAAUGGUGCCGUAACUUCGGGAGAAGGCACGCUGAUAUGUAGGUGAAGCGACUUGCUCGUGGAGCUGAAAUCAGUCGAAGAUACCAGCUGGCUGCAACUGUUUAUUAAAAACACAGCACUGUGCAAACACGAAAGUGGACGUAUACGGUGUGACGCCUGCCCGGUGCCGGAAGGUUAAUUGAUGGGGUCAGCGCAAGCGAAGCUCUUGAUCGAAGCCCCGGUAAACGGCGGCCGUAACUAUAACGGUCCUAAGGUAGCGAAAUUCCUUGUCGGGUAAGUUCCGACCUGCACGAAUGGCGUAAUGAUGGCCAGGCUGUCUCCACCCGAGACUCAGUGAAAUUGAACUCGCUGUGAAGAUGCAGUGUACCCGCGGCAAGACGGAAAGACCCCGUGAACCUUUACUAUAGCUUGACACUGAACAUUGAGCCUUGAUGUGUAGGAUAGGUGGGAGGCUUUGAAGUGUGGACGCCAGUCUGCAUGGAGCCGACCUUGAAAUACCACCCUUUAAUGUUUGAUGUUCUAACGUUGACCCGUAAUCCGGGUUGCGGACAGUGUCUGGUGGGUAGUUUGACUGGGGCGGUCUCCUCCUAAAGAGUAACGGAGGAGCACGAAGGUUGGCUAAUCCUGGUCGGACAUCAGGAGGUUAGUGCAAUGGCAUAAGCCAGCUUGACUGCGAGCGUGACGGCGCGAGCAGGUGCGAAAGCAGGUCAUAGUGAUCCGGUGGUUCUGAAUGGAAGGGCCAUCGCUCAACGGAUAAAAGGUACUCCGGGGAUAACAGGCUGAUACCGCCCAAGAGUUCAUAUCGACGGCGGUGUUUGGCACCUCGAUGUCGGCUCAUCACAUCCUGGGGCUGAAGUAGGUCCCAAGGGUAUGGCUGUUCGCCAUUUAAAGUGGUACGCGAGCUGGGUUUAGAACGUCGUGAGACAGUUCGGUCCCUAUCUGCCGUGGGCGCUGGAGAACUGAGGGGGGCUGCUCCUAGUACGAGAGGACCGGAGUGGACGCAUCACUGGUGUUCGGGUUGUCAUGCCAAUGGCACUGCCCGGUAGCUAAAUGCGGAAGAGAUAAGUGCUGAAAGCAUCUAAGCACGAAACUUGCCCCGAGAUGAGUUCUCCCUGACUCCUUGAGAGUCCUGAAGGAACGUUGAAGACGACGACGUUGAUAGGCCGGAUGUGUAAGCGCAGCGAUGCGUUGAGCUAACCGGUACUAAUGAACCGUGAGGCUUAACCUU
rnacentral:rRNA from 1 species